rnacentral:rRNA from 1 species
AACGAACGCUGGCGGCAUGCCUAACACAUGUAAGUCGAACGAGACCUUCGGGUCUAGUGGCGCACGGGUGCGUAACGCGUGGGAACCUGCCCUUAGGUUCGGAAUAACUCCCCGAAAGGGGUGCUAAUACCGGAUAAUGUCUUCGGACCAAAGAUUUAUCGCCUUUGGAUGGGCCCGCGUUGGAUUAGCUAGUUGGUAGGGUAAAAGCCUACCAAGGCGACGAUCCAUAGCCGGUCUGAGAGGAUGAUCAGCCACACUGGGACUGAGACACGGCCCAGACUCCUACGGGAGGCAGCAGUGGGGAAUAUUGGACAAUGGGCGAAAGCCUGAUCCAGCAAUGCCGCGUGAGUGAUGAAGGCCUUAGGGUUGUAAAGCUCUUUUACCCGGGAUGAUAAUGACAGUACCGGGAGAAUAAGCUCCGGCUAACUCCGU